rnacentral:rRNA from 1 species
UGGGGAAUUUUGCACAAUGGGGGAAACCCUGAUGCAGCAACGCCGCGUGAGGGAUGAAGGCCUUCGGGUCGUAAACCUCUGUCGGGAGGGAAGAACGGGUGCUCUUCGAAUAGGUGAGCAGCCUGACGGUACCUCCAAAGGAAGCACCGGCUAACUCCGUGCCAGCAGCCGCGGUAAUACGGAGGGUGCGAGCGUUGUUCGGAAUCAUUGGGCGUAAAGCGCGUGUAGGCGGCUUGGAAAGUCGGUUGUGAAAUCCCGGGGCCCAACCCCGGAACUGCAAUCGAAACUGCCUCGCUAGAGUCCCGGAGAGGAAGGCAGAAUUCCCGGUGUAGGGGUGAAAUCCGUAGAUAUCGGGAGGAAUACCAGUGGCGAAGGCGGCCUUCUGGACGGUGACUGACGCUGAGACGCGAAAGCGUGGGGAGCAAACAGGAUUAGAUACCCGUGUAGUCC